UACGGGGGAUGCAAGCGUUAUCCGGAAUUAUUGGGCGUAAAGGGUCCUGAGGUGGCUAGCCAAGUCUAUUGUGAAAUAUCAGGGCUUAACCCUGAACAUGCGGUGGAAACUAGAAAGCUUGAGUACAGUAGGGGCGGAGGGAAUUUCCGGUGGAGCGGUGAAAUGCGUAGAGAUCGGAAGGAACACCAGUGGCGAAGGCGGCUACCUGGACAGAUACUGACACUGGGGCGCGAAAGCGGUGGGGGAGCAAACAGGGAAUUAAGAAAACCCGU
rnacentral:rRNA from 1 species